GCGGCCAAGUGCAAGGUUAAGUGUUUUUUCCAGGGUAAUACAUUAAGAACAUUCUAAACAUGCCUACAUUACCGUAAAGUAAUGAAGGGCUAACAUUAUGUGACAAAACCAUUUAUUUAGCACCUCAGCUGAACUGAGCAAUGUGAAAAUUAAUGCAACAAAAUAUUAGCUAUACAAUUCCCUACAUACCCAAGCUUUAUUAUUGCUGUGCAACAGGUUAACCAUAGGAAUUUGUCCAACAUAGGUGACUUAAAUACUUGUUUACCUUUAAAACAAAGUAUCUUUUCAGAAACUUCACUACACGUUUAGACAACAGAGGCCUUAGGAAUGCUGCACCUUACCCUAUCAAACACAAGUUGCACAGGCUUGAUUGGAAUGUUUACGUACAAGUCUCAUCCUGUUGAUAUUAUGCAGUUUACUGUGAAAAUAGGAACAUGCCCAUCUAAAUUAUGCACUCCCUAUAGAUUUGCCCAAGAAAUACUUUCUGGAUGCUAGAGAUAUACUCAAAUUAUAACCAAACAUUAUCAUGUGAUGUCUGCAGCUCAGGUGUCCACCACUUAUUCUGUAUUACACAGAACUGACCUUAAAAACUUGAUUUAAAAAAAACUUGUUUAAAAAAACCCGAUCCCCACAUACUACACACAGAGAAUAAAGAAAGAAGGGACAACACACCGCACUCAUGCACAAAUGUGUAGUCGGUGUAACCACCAGGUAUGAUAUUUUCCCCGUGCAGUGCAAGCUCAGGAUAUUACGUCUGCUUCUGAUGCACUGUGGAAUACCUGUUAUAGUGUACAAGAACACUGGGAAGUAUGCCGUCUGCGGCGUGACAGAAUCAAGCCAUGAGGGCCACUUCAGCAAUGAUAGUUGCAGCAUACGUUCCAAAGAGAUCAAUGGAAGAAUCACCGAGAUCCCUCAUGAUUGGCCACUGCUAAUAAAUGAUGCUGGCACUACUGUACAUACUUGUGCCAAAGGCUGAACUUGGCAAGUUUCAAGAACCUUUACUGCACCACAAUAGCCCAAAUACAAGAAAAUGCACCAAAAUCCAUGUCGUCACACUGAUGUACCAGCAUAGGGUUUCGGCUCAAAAUUCAAGAAAUGGAAGCUUGGCCUUCAUUUUCGUUUUUAAUAAUCAACCUCUCACCAUGAAAUUAACAAAAAUAGUGUUUUGAAAUAAUAUUUUAUCAGUCUAGACCAAUUUGAUGUUUCACUUUAAUUAUGUCCCUUUAAUACAGUACCUGGACCGUGACACUUGAACAGCUUGGUCUGGC